AACAUACUAUUACAUAAUACGAACAAAAAUCAUAGUGUCAUAGAAGCCCUAGGAAUCCCUUUCAUUAGCUUCCAUUGCUGACCACUCCAUCCCACGGAUUCAAUCACAGGUUUCCUAUUCUCUUCAGCUUCCUCGAAACAGUAAACAGGUGCCUGCCAGUGGGAAUCCCCCAGGACUGCUCCCACUUCAAAGGUCAUAACAUGAGCUGUGUACCCUACACGCUCAAAAAAGAUUUCCAAAAUCAAAAUCAAGCAUAACAGAUGUUAUGAAUAUUGCUCGAAGUUAAUACCAUACCUGUAUAGAACGCCCAGUAAACAGGUCUCUUAGUGAUGACAUCCUCGUAGUACCGAAUGAAGUCGACCUUCUCCCACACAUUGCAUAGGAAACCAUCUUUUUCUUGUUGGCCUAAAUAAUUGGCUCCAUCCAGCCAAUUCGGGCGGAGAAUGCCGACAGGAAAAUGCAAGACU
rnacentral:lncRNA from 1 species